rnacentral:rRNA from 1 species
GAUGAACGCUGGCGGCGUGCCUGACACAUGCAAGUCGAGCGGCAGCGAGGGGUGCUUGCACCCUGUCGGCGAGCGGCGGACGGCUGAGUAACGCGUGGGAACGUGCCCCAAAGUGAGGAAUAACUUCCCGAAAGGGUAGCUAAUACCGCAUAUUAUCUUCGGAUCAAAGGAUUUAUCCGCUUUGGGAGCGGCUCGCGUCGGAUUAGGUAGUUGGUGAGGUAAUGGCUCCCCAAGCCGACGAUCCGUAGCUGGUCAGAGAGGAUGACCAGCCAGACUGGAACUGAGACACGGUACAGACUCCUACGGGAGGCAGCAGUGAGGAAUCUUCCACAAUGGGCGAAAGCCUGAUGGAGCAACGCCGCGUGCAGGACGAAGGCCUUCGGGUUGUAAACUGCUUUUAUAAGUGAGGAAUAUGACGGUAACUUAUGAAUAAGGAUCGGCUAACUACGUG